rfam:Heligmosomoides polygyrus genome assembly, scaffold: HPBE_scaffold0001875
GCGCCGGUGGUGUAAUGGCGUAGAGCAUUCCUGCCCGGUUAGAGGGAGGUGCGGGUUCGACUCCCGCCUGGCGCU